GCAAAUAUAAAGAAUGAUUAUUAGAAGUCGUCAAUAGCAACGGCGGGAGACCAGUUUCUUCAACUAAUGUAUUUAUUUUAGACUUUAUUACAAAAAUAAUUCUCAACCACGAAACAAUGAAAGAGAAACUUAUGUGCAAAACGCAAUGCUACUAUAAUAUCAUACACUAACAUACAAGGCCGCAUCGCUAGCCAUACGGGCAUCGAUCCAGGAAUAAUGAAUUCCGGUAUUGCAGAUGAUUGAAUUCAUGCAAAGCGUCUUCACAAGGAAUGACAAUCCAUAGCAGAAAACAGUAACUCAAUUUUCAUCAUCUUCAUUCAUCUUCUGCAAUGAAGUUUGGCAAUUCACCUUGGCAAAGGUACUCAUCACAUAAAGAUGCUGUUUCCCAAUCCUUUCGCAACCGCAAAAUGUCCUCAGUGAAUGUGGACCCUGAGGCCCCUAUGAAAACACUAGACAUAGCACAGAUNNNNNNNNNNNNNGGCUUCCACCUGAGAAUCGUCCUCAAUGCGAUGUCUUGAUAACAAAGCAUCCCACUUCUCCACUGAAGUAUGAGAUGGCCGUUUGACAAGGGGUACAGCUUUCCCAUUCAGCACAAUUAGUGACUGCAACAAAUCAGUUUCACUUUCUGCCGCAUCAGUGGAAAGAUAUAUGACUGGUGCAUUGGUCCUUUCAACCACCCGCGCUAUGCAAUCUGCAGCUUGGGGUAUGGGGUAAAAGCAACUUGGCGUUUUAACAUUACAGAACUUCAAGAAGCCAUGCCGCCGGAAAUGGAGGGCAAUGAAGUUCUUCCCCAAGAAAGUUUGAAUAAAUCGCUGGGCAGUAAGUAUUAUAAGCCUACUUGGUUCGAUCAAUGUCUUGCAUUUGUGUGCAAGAGGACCACCAGGCUGCAACACCCACUCCUUCUCUACAUCAGCAAAAUACACAUCUCCAAUAGCAAUAACAUCAUCAUUGGAAGAAAACUUGGCCUGCACAUCCUGAACCGUUUUCUUACUUGGUUUCUUAACAUCCUCCUUCCAAGGCGACUCAAGCUUCCCCAUUGAAAUCCCUAACCCCUUCAACUUCUUAACAUGUUCUUCAUCCACAUAGCACGGAGCAGGUGAGGAGAAGUAGCAUAUAAACCGAUCAAUAUGCAAAUGAUUCUUCCUCAUUUGUGC
rnacentral:misc_RNA from 1 species